rnacentral:rRNA from 1 species
GCGUAACGCGUAAGUAACUUGCCCCAAGGUAAGGAAUAACGUCGAGAAAUCGGCGCUAAUACCUCAUAAUGCAGCGGAUCCGCAUGGAUAUGUUGUUAAAGGUUUACCGCCUUGGGAUAGGCCUGCGUCUGAUUAGCUAGUUGGUGUGGUAAUGGCACACCAAGGCUACGAUCAGUAACUGGUCUGAGAGGAUGAUCAGUCACACUGGAACUGAGACACGGUCCAGACUCCUACGGGAGGCAGCAGUGAGGAAUAUUGGGCAAUGCACGAAAGUGUGACCCCAGCAACGCCGCGUGGAGGAUGAAGGUAUUCUAUAUCGUAAACUCCUGUGAGAGCAGACGAAAGACAGAUUAUUAAUUUGGAUGACUGUAUGCUCAGAGGAAGCCCCGGACUAACUACGUG